CUAACACCUAAAACACACACAUCAUUCACGCAUAUACCAUUUUUUAGCUUGAGCUCAAGCUUUUGAGCUCCGAUUUGAGCACCGAGAUGAACGCCGAUCAUCUUUUCGAUCACGUAUCUAAGUAGGUCCUUUUGGGAAGUAACGACUUGAGGGAGAGAGUGACGUUACUCAUUGAUACAGAGACACAACGAGGUUGAGCUGAUGUGAUGAUGGUGCUGCAAUGAGCGGAGUCUCCAGGGUUGUUAAUAAAUAGUUAACCUGUCUAGAAUAUGUCUUCAUACAUAUGUCUAGCUACUUUCCGCUGCAAGAUGUUGUUGAUGUUAUAGUAUGUUAUGUCAUACUUUGAGUCUUAAGAGAAUGGUUUCAUAUGAUGUAUAACUUGAUUAAUGAUAUUAAUUAAGUUUUAUGCUGUCUUUCA